CCCAGCUUGCUGGGUGGAUUAGUGGCGAACGGGUGAGUAACACGUGAGUAACCUGCCCUUAACUCUGGGAUAAGCCUGGGAAACUGGGUCUAAUACCGGAUAGGAGCGCCUACCGCAUGGUGGGUGUUGGAAAGAUUUAUCGGUUUUGGAUGGACUCGCGGCCUAUCAGCUUGUUGGUGAGGUAAUGGCUCACCAAGGCGACGACGGGUAGCCGGCCUGAGAGGGUGACCGGCCACACUGGGACUGAGACACGGCCCAGACUCCUACGGGAGGCAGCAGUGGGGAAUAUUGCACAAUGGGCGCAAGCCUGAUGCAGCGACGCCGCGUGAGGGAUGACGGCCUUCGGGUUGUAAACCUCUUUCAGUAGGGAAGAAGCGAAAGUGACGGUACCUGCAGAAGAAGCACCGGCUAACUACGUGCCAGCAGCCGCGGUAAUACGUAGGGUGCGAGCGUUAUCCGGAAUUAUUGGGCGUAAAGAGCUCGUAGGCGGUUUGUCGCGUCUGUCGUGAAAGUCCGGGGCUUAACCCCGGAUCUGCGGUGGGUACGGGCAGACUAGAGUGCAGUAGGGGAGACUGGAAUUCCUGGUGUAGCGGUGGAAUGCGCAGAUAUCAGGAGGAACACCGAUGGCGAAGGCAGGUCUCUGGGCUGUAACUGACGCUGAGGAGCGAAAGCAUGGGGAGCGAACAGGAUUAGAUACCCUGGUAGUCCAUGCCGUAAACGUUGGGCACUAGGUGUGGGGACCAUUCCACGGUUUCCGCGCCGCAGCUAACGCAUUAAGUGCCCCGCCUGGGGAGUACGGCCGCAAGGCU
rnacentral:rRNA from 1 species